GAGGAGGAGGAGGAGGAGGCGGCGUGGUAGGUCACACGCGCAGAGCAAACGCUGAAGAGGCUUUGCUGUAAAUCUCAGCCCCAGAUGACAGGAAGUUCAAGUCAAGGAGGCGUGUGCUACGCUGUGGGCGUGUUCGCUGAAUGCUCUGAAACCACGCCCUGCUCAACUGUCAACUGUCAAUAAAGUACCACUACAAUCCAUCCAUCCAUCCAUUUUCUGAGCUGCUUCUCCUCACUAGGGUCGAGGGCGUGCUGGAGCCUAUCCCAGCUAUCAUCGGGCAGGAGGCGGGGUACACCCUGAACUGGUUGCCAGCCAACCGCAGACCAACAAACAACCAUUCACACUCACAUUCACACCUAUGGGCAAUUUAGAGUCGUCAAUUAACCUACCAUGCAUGUUUUUGGGAGGAAACCGGAGUGCCCGGAGAAAACCCACGCAGGCAGGGGGACAACAUGCAAAUUCCACACAGGUGGGGACAGGGAUUGAACCCCGGUCCUCAGAACUGUGAGAGAGAGUAGAGUAUAGACUAUAGCGUUACUCACAAUUGUAAGCGAUUCAGCUACUUUUAAAAAGUAGUGCAAAUCUUGAAUAAAAACAGGUUGCUUUGA